rnacentral:rRNA from 1 species
UACAGAGGGUGCGAGCGUUGUCCGGAAUCACUGGGCGUAAAGGGCGCGUAGGUGGCGCUCCAAGUCCGUGGUGAAAGCUCGAUGCUCAACAUCGAGUCGGCCACGGAGACUGGAGGGCUCGAGCACUGUAGGGGCAGAUGGAAUUCCGGGUGUAGCGGUGGGAUGCGUAGAGAUCCGGAAGAACACCGGUGGCGAAGGCGGUCUGCUGGGCAGUUGCUGACACUGAGGCGCGGACAGCGUGGGGAGCAAACAGG